rnacentral:tRNA from 1 species
UGGCUCAAUGGUAGAGCAUUUGACUCAAUAACAAAAGGUCGUGGGUUCGAAUCCCAC